rnacentral:lncRNA from 1 species
GGCGUCGGGCCUGGCGGGAAAGUGGAAAACUAUCGGCGGUGGCCCAGGCUCGGUGGCUCACUCCUGGAAUCCCAGCACUUUGGGAGGCCAAGGUGGGGGGAUCACGAGGUCAGGGGAUCGAGACCAUCCUGGCUAACAGGUGAAACCCUGUCUCUACUAAAAAUACAAAAAAAUUAGCCAGGCGUGGUGGAGGCGCCUGUAGUCGCAGCUACUCGGGAGGCUGAGGCAGGAGAAUGGCGUGAACCCAGGAGGCGGAGCCUGCAGUGAGCCGAGAUUGCUGCACUGCACUCCAGCCUGGGCGACAGAGGAAGACUCCGUCUCAAAAAAAAAAAAAAAAAAAGAAAGAAAACUACAGGCGGGGACGGCUUCUCGGCAAUUGAAAACACUGCCUCAGUAUCUGAACACAAGUAACAGAGUAUGCAAGAGGAGGAGACCUGCACAACUGGAUACACCCAGAAAUGUCCCUGGCUCAACAAGCCUUCCAGCAUGACCCUGUGUCUUCCCCCUCCACGCAGAGCACCAGCAACAGUAGUGCAGACCCAGAAACCUCCCUGGCUCAACAAGGCCCCCAGCAUGACCCCAUGGCCUUCCCCUCCACCCAGAGCACCUGUAGCAGUGGUGGAGUCCCAGAAAUGUCCCUGGCUCAACAAGCCUUCCAGUAUCAGCCUGUGGCCUUCUUCUCCACCCAGAGCACCAGCAGCAGUGGUGGAGACCCAGAAACAUCCCAGGCUCAACAAGCCGCCCAGCAUGACCCUGUGGCCUACCCCUAUACCCAGAGCAACAGCAGCAGUGGUGCAGACCCAGAAACCUCUGGCUCACCACCUCCCCAGCAACACCCUGUGGCCUUCUCCACCAAGAGCACCAGUAGCAGUGGCAGAGACCCAGAAAUGUCCCUGACACAGCAACAACCAUCCCAGGAAGCCAGUGUCAUUCAGGCUGGGCAGCCCAAGGCUUUGACUUCAGCCUUGCCAAUAAGGAGGCUGUGACUGCCGCAGGGCUGCCAGGGGAUGCACUUCCAUUGUAUUAAAAUGUUUUUGCCUGUGUCCACCGCCGAAAAGGAGGAAUAAGAUGACCCCAACAUAGUUGCACGGCUGAAGACAAAAAUCAAGUUGGUGGGGUCAAUAUUGUUACCAUAGUCACUACACUUAGAGUAGUUUUAUAGUCAGUGUAGACAGGUGGCACCAUGCAGCAGGGAUCAGCCUCCACCACACCUGACCAGGAGCUCCAGAACUGUAAAAUCCUGGACACCAUUGGCCGUGGCACGUUCAGUGAGGUCCAGGAUCACAUGCUGAUUGGGACCCAAAUGGCCAUCAAAAUCAUCCCCAAGGCUGGCUCCCUUGGCAUCACUCUCCAGAGAGUGAUAAGUAUUUUAAAGUUACUCUGUCACUUCAAUAUUGUACGGUUGUAUCAAGUGAUUGACACCCCCAACACCAGUUAUUUAUUUAGUAACGGAGUAUGCAAGAGGAGGACACCCACGCAACCAAUACACCACCAUGGCCUCAUGAGGGAGGAGAAGGCCUAGACCAUGUUCAGGCAGAUUCUGUCGGCCAUGCAGUAGUGCCAUAGCAAAUUGCGCAGAGACCUGAACCCAGAAAACAUCAUCCUUGAUGAGGACGGUAACGUUAAGAUCGCAGACUUCGGCUUUGGUACCACAUUCCAUGAUGGGCAGAAGCUGACAGCCCUUUGUAGCACUUAACCCCUACAUGGCCCUGGAACGUUUCCUAGGCCAGGGCUACCAAUGUGCCACCAUGGAUAUUCAGAGCCUCAGAGUAAUUUUAUACCACAUGGUGGCUGGGGUUCUGCCCUUCUGCUCAUGCAGCAUUAGGGUCCUCUCAGCAAAAAUUUAAAGUGGAAGCUAUUUUUCCCCAGUCUACUUUUCCUGAGGUCUUAAAAGCCUCAUUAAAAAACUAUUAACAGUAGACCCCAGGGAGCAGACCACACUAGAAGAAGUUAUGAGGGACCCGUGGGUGAACAGUGGUCAGGAGUUGCCUCUGACAACAUGAAGAACAAAUCCUGGACCACCUGAAUCCCAAAACAACCCAGCUUUUGGUGGCCAUGGGAUUCCAGGCUGAGAACCUAUCUGUGGCAAUCAAAGAAAAAUUAUUCAGUUAUCCCAUGGCCACCUACCUUGUUUUGGAACAAACAAAACAGAAGAAGCGGUCCACUAUCAGACCACAGACCCUUCCUCCUGGGGAUCCCACUUGUCCUCUCUACAUUGAAGUUUCCACCUUCCCUCUUUCACUGAAGCGGGCUCAUAGCAUUCAGCAGAAGACUGUGGGUGCCAAGUCUGGGCAGGGCCUUUGCCCUUGGGAGUCCUGUUUUAGACCCAGCUCCACCACGUGGCCCUGGCCUCUUCUCUGCCCUGUCUGUGCUUGCAGCCAUGGUGCCCAGUCUGGCCCCACCAGGAGACACCAGAACGACUGUCCAUGUGUCUACUCCUUGGCACCUUCCCCGCAUGGUGGGUAGAUGGGCAGGGAGGGGUGGGAAUCUGUGUAACCGUGGAAGGGAACGGCCCUCAGACCCAGAGGGUUUGGAGCCUGGGGUAUUGUCACCGACAGUGGCCUUAGCCUAGCUAGCACAGUUAGUGCUGUGCAUCACAGCAUAGCUUUUAGAGGCAGGAUUUGUAGUCAGUAUAGUUGGGAGGCACCAUGGAGCAGGGAUCACCCUCCACCUCACUUGACAAGGAGAUACAAAACUAUCAGUUCAUAGACACCAUCUGAUAGGGAACUGGCUCAGCAUAGGCCAACUGGGACCCAGGUUGCCAUCUUGAAGACUUUCCAUCACCCAAAUAUCAUUCAGCUCUUCCAGGUGGUGAGGGAGUAAACCAGAGGAGGAGAGUUGCACCACCAGAUAUACCACUAUGGCCACAUCGAGGAGGAAGAGGAGGCCCGGACCAUGUUCAGGCAGAUUCUGUCAGCCCUGCAGUACUGCCACUUAAAAAAAAAAAAAAAAUCACACAUCCAGACCUAAAGCCACAAAACAUCCUAUUCAAAGAAUGAGGCAACAUACAUUGUGGACUUUGGCUUCAGUACAACAUUCAGAGAGGGGCAGAUGCUGACAGCUUUUUGUGGCAUGUACCCCUACGUGGCCCCAGAACGCUCCCUGGGCCAGGCAUGCCAGUGACCCGCCAGGGACAUACAAAGCCUCAGUGUCAUACUGUAUUUCAGGAAUACAGUAGGUAGAAGGGCCAGGACUUUGCCCUUUUACUCAGGGAAGCCUCCAAACUUCAAGAAAAAAUUCUCACAGGAAGAUACCAUGCCCCACCACUUCUUGCCCUUCAACUUGACUCAUUAAAAAAUUACUAAUGCUGAACGCCAGGAAGUGUCCUUCACUGUAACUGAUGAAAAAUCCAUGGGUGAAAAGUAGCCAGAAGAUGCCACUGAUACCAUACGAAGAGCCACUCCUGGACCACCCCAAACAAUCCAGCUCAUGGUGGCCAUGGGAUUUCAGGCCAAGAACAUCUCUGUGGCAAUCAUAGAAAGAAAAUUCAACUAUCCCAUGGCCACCUACCUCAUUUUAGAGCACACAAAACAAGAGAGGAAGUGCUCCACCAUCAGAGAACUGUCCCUUCCUCCCGGGGUUCCCACCUCUCCUUCCCCAUCCACUGAACUUUCCACCUUCCCUCUCUCACUGAUGCGGGCUCAUAGGGAGCCAGCUUUUAACGUUCAGCCUCCCGAAGAAAGCCAGAUGUCAGGGCAGAAGACCGCCAUUCUUGCCAGUACACCUGCCAGCCUACAGAGGAAGCCAGAUCGGGGAAGCCAGGAAGUUUUAGUGAAGCCCCCAGCAUGACCCUAUUGUCUCCCCUUUCACCCAGAGCACCAGCAACUGGUGAAGUCUUAGAAACGUCCCUGAUACACCAAAAACCAUCCCAGGAAGCCAGCAUCGUCCAAGCUGAGAAGUCCAAGCUGAGAAGCCUGAGGCUGUGACGUCAGCCUGCUCGGCAAGAAGCUGGGGCUGCCGCAGGGUUGCCAGGAGAUAGAUGCCUUUGCAUACUAUUAAAAUAUUUUUGCCUGUCUCUACCAAAGAAAAGGAGGAAUAAGAUCGCCCCAACAUAGUUGCAUGGCUGAAGACAAAAAUCAAGUCGUUGUGGUGGUCAAGCCACAAUUCCUGCAUUUUACAUUUCUUCUGUCUUUAUUGUAUUGCUUCAAUUGGCAAAUCAUGCUUGUAUUCAUUCAUGGGGUACAAUGUGGAAUGAGGAAAUCCCACUACUUAGCAUCUCCACUACCUCAGAGAGACCAAUUCCACGUGAGGUCCCAGAAGUGUUGAUCUAAACAAGUUGACCCCAUAGAAGUAGCAAGUAGAUCGAUGGUGACCAGGGGUCAGAGAGUGGCAGAGGGAGGGAAUGGGAGGGGGGUUGUCAGUUAAAGGACCAAAGUCUCAGGGAGGAGGAAGAGGUUUUGACAUGUAGUGCACAGCAGAGUGACCAGAGUCAAUGAGAAUGUGUUGCAUUUUGCAAAACACCUGAGAGAGUCCAUGUCAAAUGUCUCUCUGCAUUUAGAUUGGAGAGGACGAAGGCCCUGAGGUCCAAGAACAUUGAAACCUGACAGUGGAUGCCAAUGGCUGUGGGGAGGAGCUGGGCGAGGCGCCCAGGUUGUCGUCUGCCCGGCAACGUGGGAGCCUGCAGCACUUUCCUGCAAAGCUCUAUUUUAUCUUUUUAAAUAAAAAUGGUUACUGAUAAGUGACCGGUUCUUGCAAA